GGAAUAUUGGUCAAUGGCCGAGAGGCUGAACCAGCCAUGCCGCGUGCGGGAGGACGGCCCUAUGGGUUGUAAACCGCUUUUGUUGGGGGGCAAUAAGCUCUACGCGUAGAGUGAUGAGAGUACCCAGCGAAUAAGCAUCGGCUAACUCCGUGCCAGCAGCCGCGGUAAUACGGAGGAUGCAAGCGUUAUCCGGAUUUAUUGGGUUUAAAGGGUGCGUAGGCGGAUGAUUAAGCGUGAGGUGAAAUGCCCGGGCUCAACCUGGGGACUGCCUCGCGAACUGGUUGUCUUGAAUGCUCCUGCCGUGGGAGGAAUGUGUGGUGUAGCGGUGAAAUGCAUAGAGAUCACACAGAACACCGAUUGCGAAGGCAUCUCACGAAGGGGUGAUUGACGCUGAGGCACGAAAGCGUGGGGAUCAAACA
rnacentral:rRNA from 1 species